rnacentral:rRNA from 1 species
CCUACGGGGAGCAGCAGUGAGGAAUAUUGGUCAAUGGGCUUACGCCUGAACCAGCCAAGUCGCGUGAGGGAAGACUGCCCUAUGGGUUGUAAACCUCUUUUGUCAGGGAGCAAUUGGCGCUACGUGUAGCGUUAUCGAGAGUACCUGAAGAAAAAGCAUCGGCUAACUCCGUGCCAGCAGCCGCGGUAAUACGGAGGAUGCGAGCGUUAUCCGGAUUUAUUGGGUUUAAAGGGUGCGUAGGCGGAAUGCCAAGUCAGCGGGAAAAUCGCGGGGCUCAACCUCGCUCCGCCGUUGAAACUGGCGUUCUUGAGUGGGCGAGAAGUAUGCGGAAUGCGUGGUGUAGCGGUGAAAUGCAUAGAUAUCACGCAGAACUCCGAUUGCGAAGGCAGCAUACCGGCGCCCAACUGACGCUGAAGCACGAAAGCGUGGGUAUCGAACAGGAUUAGAUACCCUAGUAGUC